rnacentral:rRNA from 1 species
UACGAAGGGGGCUAGCGUUGCUCGGAAUCACUGGGCGUAAAGGGUGCGUAGGCGGGUCUUUAAGUCAGGGGUGAAAUCCUGGAGCUCAACUCCAGAACUGCCUUUGAUACUGAGGAUCUUGAGUUCGGGAGAGGUGAGUGGAACUGCGAGUGUAGAGGUGAAAAUUCGUAGAUAUUCGCAAGAACACCAGUGGCGAAGGCGGCUCACUGGCCCGAUACUGACGCUGAGGCACGAAAAGCGUGGGGAGCAAACAGGG